rnacentral:rRNA from 1 species
CUCGUAGGCGGCCAACUAAGUCCGACGUGAAAUCCCAAAGCUUAACUUUGGAACUGCGUCGGAUACUGGAUGGCUUGAAUUCGGGAGAGGGAUGCAGAAUUCCAGGUGUAGCGGUGAAAUGCGUAGAUAUCUGGAGGAAUACCGGUGGCGAAGGCGGCAUCCUGGACCGACAUUGACGCUGAGGAGAGAAAGACGUAGGGGAGACGAAAC